UACAUGGGGUGCAAACGUUGUUCGGAAUUACUGGGCGUAAAGCGCGUGUAGGCGGCUCUGCAAGUCGGAUGUGAAAUCCCACGGCUCAACCAUGGAAGUGCAUUCGAAACUGCAGGGCUAGAGUUCUGGAGAGGAAGGUGGAAUGCUUGGUGUAGAGGUGAAAUUCGUAGAUAUCAAGCGGAACACCGGUGGCGAAGGCGGCCUUCUGGACAGUAACUGACGCUGAGACGCGAAAGCGUGGGGAGCAAACAGG
rnacentral:rRNA from 1 species